GACGAACGCUGGCGGCGUGCUUAACACAUGCAAGUCGAACGGAAAGGCCCUGCUUGCAGGGUGCUCGAGUGGCGAACGGGUGAGUAACACGUGGGUGAUCUGCCCCUUACUUUGGGAUAAGCCUGGGAAACUGGGUCUAAUACUGGAUAGGACCAUGCUGUAGGUGGUGUGGUGGAAAGAUUAGUUUCGGUAAGGGAUGAGCUCGCGGCCUAUCAGCUUGUUGGUGGGGUAAUGGCCUACCAAGGCGUCGACGGGUAGCCGGCCUGAGAGGGUGGACGGCCACAUUGGGACUGAGAUACGGCCCAGACGCCGACGGGAGGCAGCAGUGGGGAAUAGUGCACAAUGGGCGCAAGCCUGAUGCAGCGACGCCGCGUGGGGGAUGACGGCCUUCGGGUUGUAAACUCCUUUCAGCCAUGACGAAGCCCUUGUGGUGACGGUAGUGGUAGAAGAAGCACCGGCUAACUACGUG
rnacentral:rRNA from 1 species